AAAUUGAAAGUUUUUUAUGCAUAGCCUCAUAUGCUGGUGGGGGAAAGUAUCAGGUGAACCAUCUUCAUGGUGGUAUGUACGCUGUUGAUUUGGAACGUCAUACAUGUUCUUGUCGAAAGUGGGAUUUAUGUGGAAUCCCAUGUCCACAUGCUAUUACUGCAAUAGGCAAGAAAGAGCAUAACCCACUUGAUUAUGUUCAUUCUUGUUAUAAGAGGCCAGCAUAUGACAGGGCUUAUGAGGGAUACAUUUCUCCGAUGCCUGGUCCAAAAGAGUGGAGGAAAACAGGCCUUGUGCCUAUCAAGCCCCCUUUGUAUCACAAACAACCUGGGAGACCUAAAACUUGUAGAAAAAGGGAAGCUGAUGAGAUACCAAAAAAGGCAACAAAGUUGAGAAGAUAUGGCAUUGUUAUUAAUUGCAACAUUUGUGGUGUUGAUGGUCAUAACUCAGCAACUUGUCGCAACAAUGAGCAUGUAUUUCUGAUAUUCUCAAAUUUUGACUUGAACUUAAUUUAGUUCUCAUAGUUUCACACGCAUUUCAUUGAAAUUCCCAACUUUAUUGCAGAUGGAUGGACAAGGAGGUAGAAGAGGAAGAGGAGCAAGGGGAGGUAAAGGAGCAAGAUGACAACGUGGAGAAGCAAGAGGACAACGUGGAGGAGCAAGAGGAGGCAGAGGAGCUCUAAACUUAACAGGGGGUUUAGGAGGUAAGCAAGAUCAAGGUGAAACUCAUUCUCAAGUUCCAACUCAAGCUCAUUCUGAAUGUCCAAUUCAAUCUCAAUCUCAAGCUCAAAGGACGACAAUUUUUUCUGUUACAAGAGAAGGGUAUGUAUCUCAAGCACAAUGUGAAGCAUAACCUCAAGUUGCUGUUUCUACAUCACACCCUCAACCUUACUCAGCCAUCAGAAAUGAAAAUAGGUUUAGGUACAAGAUUCCAGCCAAACGAGGAAGGCCAUGGAAAGUGUAGUUGAUCUCCACGUGUCAUGUGCGUUUCGAGCAGAAUGUUUGUGCUCUUGUUUUGAUAACUAAAACCUUAUUUUGCUUGUGUUUGGUUAAGUGGAAUGCCCAUAUUUUGUAAUCGAGAUUAUAUGGGUUAUAUACCUUAUGGAUGGUAAAAUCUCUUAUGUUUUCCAACUUCUUAAGGAUCAUUUUGUGGAAUUGUAUUGGGAUUAUGACAUUAUGAAAAGUAUAUAAUUAUC